CCUACGGGAGGCAGCAGUGGGGCAUAUUGCGCAAUGGGCGAAAGCCUGCCGCAGCGACGCCGCGUGAGGGAUGAAGGUCUUCGGAUCGUAAACCUCUGUCAGCAGGGAAGCACGGUCACUGUGCUAAUAAGCAGUGAAUUGACGGUACCUGCAAAGGAAGCACCGGCUAACUCCGUGCCAGCAGCCGCGGUAAUACGGAGGGUGCGAGCGUUAGUAGGAAUUACUGGGCGUAAAGCGCCAGUAGGCGGUAUGUCAAGUAGAGGGGGAAAUCCCCGCGCUCAACGUGGGAACUGCCUUUGAAACUGGCAAACUGGAGUGUGUGAGAGGAUAGUG
rnacentral:rRNA from 1 species